CGGUGAAAUGCAUAAGAUAUCACGAAGAACCCCGAUUGCGAAGGCAGCAUACCGGUUCCACACUGACGCUGAGGCACGAAAGCGUGGGUAUCGAACAGGAUUAGAUACCCUGGUAGUCCACGCAGUAAACGAUGAAUGCUAGGUGUCCGGGGCUUUGUGUCCUGGGUGCCACAGCGAAAGCGUUAAGCAUUCCACCUGGGGAGUACGCCGGCAACGGUGAAACUCAAAGGAAUUGACGGGGGCCCGCACAAGCGGAGGAACAUGUGGUUUAAUUCGAUGAUACGCGAGGAACCUUACCCGGGCUCAAACGCAGGAAGACGGCGGUCGAAAGGCUGCUUUCCACGGACUGCCUGCGAGGUGCUGCAUGGUUGUCGUCAGCUCGUGCCGUGAGGUGUCGGCUUAAGUGCCAUAACGAGCGCAACCCCUGCCGCCAGUUGCUAACGCUAAGGGCGAGGACUCUGGCGGGACUGCCGGCGCAAGCCGCGAGGAAGGCGGGGAUGACGUCAAAUCAGCACGGCCCUUACGUCCGGGGCGACACACGUGUUACAAUGGGCGGCACAGCGGGAAGCCAGGCGGCGACGCCGAGCGGAACCCGAAAGCCGUUCUCAGUUCGGAUCGGAGUCUGCAACCCGACUCCGUGAAGCUGGAUUCGCUAGUAAUCGCGCAUCAGCCAUGGCGCGGUGAAU
rnacentral:rRNA from 1 species